GCUGGAUAGCUAGUCAGUAUAUAAAAUAUCCUGUAUUAAAUUAGGAUAUAAGCUACCUCUUUGUGGGUAAGCGAUGGCGUAUUUGGAGAGAGAUCGGAUAGUAUCUCUGAUAGUAAUCACCUUUUUUUGGGUGGGGCCGGGUCUCCUAGAAAAAAAUUUAAAAUAUACUAAAUUAAUACCCCCAGUAAGCAGGAACAAACGAGUGUCAAAACCCUCAGUCCUUACGAAGAUGUAUAUUUAUUGAAACGAUAAAGCUAUUGUAAAUGAUCAUCCGCAGAUUCGUUCAAAAGAAAAACACAGAAGAGUCGGAGGAACCUGCGCGUGCGCAUUCCCCGUCGCGGCAACCGCAACCGACCGAACAACAGUGAUAUCAAGCUUUGAAUGGAGAGGAGUAAUUAUAAAAUUUGGUUGGUGCCACGAUAAAAUUCUGUCCUAAGACAUAUGGAGAUAUAAUACAAUAUUAUAAAUAUAUGAUUACUAUUUAUUGCUACUAUGUAAGGGAGUUAGUAUUACUUAAGGUCUGUUUAUAUAGUGCAAGUUGCUAAUUUGACAGUUACUGUCUGCACCCAGUACUCGCAUGACAGUAGCUUGAUUCGCUUCACCCUCCACAUCAAGUGGUUUGCUGUAGCAAAAAAAUCUCCUCAUUCUUUAAAUUUAUCUUGAUUUUUUUUAUUUAAAAAAGAGAAUUGGCUAGUGCACAGCAAUAAACAUGUACAGAGUUCAUCCCUCUGUUGAGCGAUUUAGGAACUAAAAUUACUAUUAUGAGUUAGUUCUAUCUAUUGCCACUUGAUCGCUAGUAGCGCUAUAUGUCAGAAGAAUUUACAUCUAAACCUAUUCAGUGAUGAGGAAACAAUUAUGUUAUUUGAUACCAUUACAUUUUGCUUUGCUGCUGUAGAGUUGUUGAGUAUAGAAACUAGAAACAAAAAUGUAAUAAUAUAAUAAAUAUAUAAAAAAUAUUUUACUUACUUAUUUGCGAAUAGAUAGAUAGAUAGAUACUCUUCAUUGUUUCCUUCAUAAGAUAACAAUAGUAAACUUAUUAUAAAUACAAACAAUCACAAGAAAAAAAAUUACACCGAGAAAACAAUAGGCCUUAUUGCUAAGAGCGAUCUCUUCCAGGCAACCUUUAGUCUAUAAACGAAGUAUUUGCACUACAUUAACUGACUGAGCCAGCCCGAAUGCUAGCUUGCAUUAUAUAACCAGACUGUUCUACUGACAGCUUUCACCCAUACAUUAUACUUUUGUAAUAGUAAUAUUAUUAUUUUAAUUAAUAUAUAUUUAUUCUAAUUUCGUACACUUUAUUGUACAAGUGUGUGUAUAAUUUUUAAAUGCAGUUAUAAACGAUCUGUAAAUAAUUACAAACUAUUUAUUACGUAAUAAGUUUGAUAAGAAAAAUAAGAAGUUACUUGGCAAUUUUUUUUUUUGCUCCUAUCGAUAGACAGCCAUUUUUAAGGAAAAUAUGUUGCCAGUGUAUUAAAUAUUGACAUUAGACUUCGUAUUUUUACAUAGUUACAAUUUAUUUACAUAUAUGACGCCAAGUAAAUGUUACAAUAAAGUCAUAUAUGUGUUUUAAGUAUUACAUCAAAUUAAAAUAAUAUUUUGUUACUACAAAAUAGAUUGAAUAUUUUCAAUCACUGUUUGCACCAUUUUAUAAAGAAUCAUCGUGACCCAAAACUUAUAAAUACGUACUUAUUUUUCGGAUUAAACUAAUAAAGCAGCAUCCACACUUGUGUAUUCUGUAAUGUAAUGUAUCGUGUAAUGUAACAAAAAUAGUGUGGUGACGGCAAAAGUCUUUGUGUUCUCUUAAUAAUCGAUACUCGACGCAACAGCGUGAGCUAUAGGGUGUGUAUUCACCAGGAGCAUUUGUAUUUAAUAUUACAGCUCAGAAUGGAGCAUUACAUCAGUAAUGUGAUAUGUAAUAUUACGAAAAUAUGGCUCUUUAAUGAGUAAUUUUUUUCUUACGAUAAUGAAAAUGUUUCUAAUCAAUACUAUCACUUGUUAUAUAGUGCUCAUAGAGCUAACCAUAGAGCUAUAAUCACAUUACGUUACAUUACAUGAUCCUUGUUACAUUUUGAUGCGGCUUAACUUAUAUUUGUAGCUUUUGUAUUACAAUUAGAGCGUAGUUAAUGAAAUGUAUUCUAAAUACGUUAAAACGGUCCAGUAGCGUUCGUAUAGUUUAUUAGAAUAGAAUUUAAAAUAAAUAUUUGCAAUAUGGCAAUAAACCUAAGAAUUGUGUUUAGGUUAACUAAUUAUUAAACAUUAUUUUAAUUUUAAAUGUCUUUAUUGUAAACAUUUAAUAUUAUUCCGAGUAAAUUAUAACCAUACUAUUGGUCAAUCAGGUUACCAAGUAAUACACUAAUUUAAAAA
rnacentral:lncRNA from 1 species